AGGGCUGAAGCGGGGCAGGGUGAAGAGGGCUCGGGCCACCACUCCCCCCAUGGAGUGACCCACCAACACCACACUAUGAGGGGGGGCUUCAUGAUCCUGUGGAGAAAGAGAGGCGCAGGAUGGCCUUGAUGCUCUCGUGUAGGAAGUGGGUCUGCCGGCGCAGGCUGCCUCCAUACAGGGCCACAAGCUCCUCGUUGAAGUCGAUGGUGAACACGUUGAGGUGGACCCCUCCUUCCAGGGCCUCAGCCUUCCUCAGAGCCACCGAACCCAGGGAGCGAGCUGAACUGUUUCCCUCUUGGUGGAUUGGACAUUAUGCUGUAUUUCAAGCAGAAGAUGACUCAAGAGAAUGGCAGUUUGAUAAUGACCACUCCCACAGCCGUACAAUUAUUCCCUGAACUUUACGACACUGUUCACUCUUAUCUUACUGCAUGUUCCUUUGUGAAUGUCAAUUUCAUCAUGACCACCUCUCCCAUCAUCUGCUGAUCGCCAGUUCUUAGCUAUAGAUUAUAAAACCAGAUAAUGUGAUUUAACCAAAGAUUGUUCUUACUGGGAGUUACUGGAUAGGUACUCUUUGGUAUAUCACAGAGGAUUUUCAACCAACCUUAGUGAUGCCGUCUUCGUUUAGACACCCAACUGUCUCGAUCAAUGAGAGAAGGCUUGAAAUAGACAAGGUGGUGGCAUACCCUUUGUUGGAUUACUUCGUGGAGCAAAACAAAUAUUUUAAUGACGGAGCAUUUUCUAAAUUCAAAAAGGACCCCUGCAACUAGACACAGACAUUUUGAGACUUGUGUUCCCAGAAUCGAGCACGAAGGCAGUAUUGCUAAGCGAAGGCUGGUCGAAAAUUCUCUGUGUUACACCAAGCAGUACCUAUCCUGUAACUCCCAGUAAUGGAUACCGAAAAUAUUUGGUUAAAUCACAUUAUCUGAUGUAACAAUCUGUAGCUACAGUUUUCUACACACUGAACUGUACUACAUUGUUCAUACUGUAUUUGUGUCUGCUACUUUUACCAUAAAACAUUCUUGUUGAAUA